GUUUAGAUUUUACUAUACCUGAAAAUUUCCAAGACAAACCCGGAGGCUACAGAACUGCUGAGACAAACACAAGCCCUCCUGCUCUGCUAUAGAAAUCUACAGAGGAAUAGAGGAUGGAUCACGAAAUCGCUGAUGAUGAGCUGCUAGGUCCCUGUAGAAUAGGAUGAAUCCCUGUGAUUGUCUCUUGACUGGGUGAAGUUGGGGAGAGCGUUGUAUGUUCACUUUGGUCCAUCAAAAAUUCACAUGGUUUGAGGAGCUCCAAUUCAAAGCCAACUAUUCUUGUUCUUUUACCAGAUUUCUAAUUCUUUUCCACUUGUCAUUUUGAGGGUUAUUGUUUUUCCUCUGUAACCAAAAAAAACAUUGCAGGUAAUUGAAUAUUCCAUGAUGAGCUACACAUGAAAGGUAUCAUUUCUGGCAAUAAUUUCGCCUUAUUCUUGAUUCUCUUUUAACAUUGGAUAACUUAAGUUUUCUAUUAGAAUUUCUGGAUACUACUCAUAAGGUUAUAUGUCUCUAGCUAGAGGUUUUUUGUUGACAGGUAGCUAAUCAAUUCUUUUAACGGUUGGAAAAAUGUUGUGUUUUUUAAAAGUUCAAACAUAUUUUACAUGUGCUCACCAUU